GACAGAGGGUGCAAACGUUGUUCGGAAUUACUGGGCGUAAAGCGCGUGUAGGCGGCUCUGUAAGUCGGGUGUGAAAUCCCACGGCUCAACCGUGGAAGUGCACCCGAAACUGCAAAGCUAGAGUCUCGGAGAGGAUCGUGGAAUUCUCGGUGUAGAGGUGAAAUUCGUAGAUAUCGAGAGGAACACCGGUGGCGAAGGCGGCGAUCUGGACGAUGACUGACGCUGAGACGCGAAAGCGUGGGGAGCAAACAGG
rnacentral:rRNA from 1 species